GUGCAACUGGCCAGAGACGCUGCAGGAGCAGGGCACGGUCGAACGUGGGGACGGGGUAGUCUCAGAUGUAGGAACAGAGGUUGGACUGGUUGUAGGAGCUGAGGUUGCGCUGCUUGUGUGCACAGAGGUUGAGCUCAUUGUAGGAACUGAGGUUGUGCUGCUUGUCUGCACAGGGGUUGCACUGGUUGUUGGAGCCGAGGUGGUGCUGCUUGUCUGCACAGAGGUUGAGCUCGUUGUAGGAGCUGAGGUUGUGCUGUUUGUCUGCACAGAGGUUGGACUGGUUGUAGGAGCUGAGGUUGCACCGCUUGUGUGCACAGGGGUUGCACUGGUUGUAGGAGUCGAGGUGGUGCUGCUUGUCUGCACAGAGAUUGUACUGGUUGUAGGAGCUGAGGUUGCACUGCUUGUGUGCACAGGGGUUGCACUGGUUGUAGGAGUCGAGGUGGUGCUGCUUGUCUGCACAGAGAUUGUACUGGUUGUAGGAGCUGAG
ensembl:lncRNA